AAUUUACCAAAAUCCCACAACAAAUACCUCAAUAUCUAGUCUAUAGUUUCACUUACAUACAAUCCAAAUGCUUUCAACAAUUGGGAAAUUACCCAUGUUCAAUUGACUCAAGAAACAAGCAUAAAACUUGGUGUACUCUUGCUUCCUAAAAUGAUUAAACAUAAAACUUGAUUUUUAAGGAAAAUUUCUAGCAAUAAAAAUCAUAAAAGAAAAUAAUAAUAAACAAAAUGGAGGAAGGGAAAAAGAGAGAGAAAGAGAGAAUUAUGUUCCGAAACAUCCAAUCCAUUCCAGUGAAAAAAAUGGGGGAAACAGAGAAAAAUAAUAGCAAACUUACAUUUCUCUUCUUAGUUUUGGAGUCCACUCCACCGGUAACCACAGUCUGUCCUCCCUUCAAAUCCAAG
rnacentral:misc_RNA from 1 species